rnacentral:tRNA from 1 species
GCCGGGGUGGCGGAACUGGUAGACGCGCCGGAUUCAAAAUCCGGUUCCUUCACGGGAGUGUCGGUUCGAUCCCGACCCUCGGUACCA